rnacentral:rRNA from 1 species
AUUGAACGCUGGCGGCAUGCUUUACACAUGCAAGUCGAACGGUAACAGGCCGCAAGGUGCUGACGAGUGGCGAACGGGUGAGUAAUGCAUCGGAACGUGCCCAGUCGUGGGGGAUAACUACUCGAAAGAGUAGCUAAUACCGCAUACGAUCUAUGGAUGAAAGCGGGGGACCGUAAGGCCUCGCACGAUUGGAGCGGCCGAUGUCAGAUUAGGUAGUUGGUGGGGUAAAGGCUCACCAAGCCAACGAUCUGUAGCUGGUCUGAGAGGACGACCAGCCACACUGGGACUGAGACACGGCCCAGACUCCUACGGGAGGGAGCAGUGGGGAAUUUUGGACAAUGGGCGCAAGCCUGAUCCAGCAAUGCCGCGUGCAGGAAGAAGGCCUUCGGGUUGUAAACUGCUUUUGUACGGAACGAAACGGCUCUGGUUAAUACCCGGGGCUAAUGACGGUACCGUAAGAAUAAGCACCGGCUAACUACGUG